GAUGAACGCUGGCGGCGUGCCUAAUACACGCAAGUCGAGCGAACGGACGAGAAGCUUGCUUCUCUGAUGUUAGCGGCGGACGGGUGAGUAACACGUGGAUAACCUACCUAUAAGACUGGGAUAACUUCGGGAAACCGGAGCUAAUACCGGAUAAUAUUUUGAACCGCAUGGUUCAAAAGUGAAAGACGGUCUUGCUGUCACUUAUAGAUGGAUCCGCGCUGCAUUAGCUAGUUGGUAAGGUAACGGCUUACCAAGGCAACGAUGCAUAGCCGACCUGAGAGGGUGAUCGGCCACACUGGAACUGAGACACGGUCCAGACUCCUACGGGAGGCAGCAGUAGGGAAUCUUCCGCAAUGGGCGAAAGCCUGACGGAGCAACGCCGCGUGAGGGAUGAAGGUCUUCGGAUCGUAAAACUCUGUUAUUAGGGAAGAACAUAUGUGUAAGUAACUGUGCACAUCUUGACGGUACCUAAUCAGAAAGCCACGGCUAACUACGUG
rnacentral:rRNA from 1 species